rnacentral:lncRNA from 1 species
CUCCCUCUCCUUCCACGGUCUCCCUCUGAUGCCGAGCGGAAGCUGGACUGUACUGCUGCCAACUCGGCUCACUGCAACCUCCCUGCCUGAUUCUCCUGCCUCAGCCUGCAGAGUGCCUGCGAUUGCAGGCGCGCGCUGCCACGCCGGACUAGUUUUCGUAUUUUUUUGGUGGAGACAGGGUUUCGCUGUGUUGGCCGGGCUGGUCUCCAGCUCCUAACCGUGAGUGAUCUACCAGCCUCGGUGCCGGGAUUGCAGACGGAGUCUCGUUCACUCAGUGCUCAAUGUUACCCAGGCUGGAGUGCAGUGGCGUGAUCUCGGCUAGCUACAACAUCCACCUCCCAGCAGCCUGCCUUGGCCUCCCAAAGUGCCGAGAUUGCAGCCUCUGCCCGGCCGCCACCCCGUCUGGGAAGUGAGGAGCGUCUCUGCCUGGCCGCCCAUCGUCUGAGAUGUGAGGAGCCCCUCUGCCCGGCCGCCCAUCGUCUGAGAUGUGGGGAGCGCCUCUGCCCCGCCGCCCCGUCUGGGAUGUGAGGAGCGCCUCUGCCCAGCCGCGACCCCGUCUGGGAGGUGAGGAGCGUCUCUGCCCGGCCGCCCCGUCGGAGAAGUGAGGAGCCCCUCUGCCCGGCAGCCGCCCCGUCGGAGAAGUGAGGAGCGUCUCCGACCGGCAGCCGCCCCGUCCGGGAGGUGGGGGGUCAGCCCCCGCCCAGCCAGCCCUCCCCUCCGGGAAGGAGAUGGGGGACAGCCCCGCCCGGCCAGCCAACCCCUCCGCGAGGGAGGUGGGGGGCAGCCCCCGCCCGGCCAGCCGCCCCGUCCGGGAGGGAGGUGGGGGGCGCCUCUGCCCAACCGCCCCUUCUGGUAAGUGAGGAGCCCCUCUGCCCGGCCACCACCCCGUCUGGGAGGUGUACCCAACAGCUCAUUGAGAACGGGCCAUGAUGACGAUGGCGGUUUUGUCUAAUAGAAAAGGGGGAAAUGUGGGGAAAAGAUACAGAAAUCAGAUUGUUGCUGUGUCUGUGUAGAGAGAAGUAGACAUGGGAGACUCCAUUUUGUUCUGUACUAAGAAAAAUUCUUCUGCCUUGGGAUGCCUUACCCCCAACCCGGUGCUCUCUGAAACAUGUGCUAUGUCCACUCAGGGUUAAAUGGAUUAAGG